GACGGAGGAUGCAAGUGUUAUCCGGAAUCACUGGGCGUAAAGCGUCUGUAGGUGGUUUAACAAGUCCACUGUUAAAAAUUGAAGCUUAACUUCAAAGAUGCCGUGGAAACUUUUAAACUUGAGUAUGGUAGGGGUAGAGGGAAUUUCCAGUGGAGCGGUGAAAUGCGUAGAUAUUGGAAAGACCACCAAUGGCGAAGGCACUCUACUGGGCCAUUACUGACACUGAGAGACGAAAGCGAGGGGAGCAAAUGGG
rnacentral:rRNA from 1 species